rnacentral:rRNA from 1 species
GACAGAGGUGGCGAGCGUUGUUCGGAAUUACUGGGCUUAAAGGGCGCGUAGGUGUCCCGGCAAGUCAAAUGUGGAAGCUUCCCGCUUAACGGGGAAAAUGCAUUUGAAACUGUUGGGAUUGAGUCAGCGAGGGGAUGGCGGAAUUCCAGGUGUAGCGGUGAAAUGCGUAGAUAUCUGGAGGAAGGCCGGUGGCGAAGGCGGCCAUCUGGCGCUGAACUGACACUGAGGCGCGAAAGCGUGGGGAGCAAACAGG